UACGAAGGGUGCAAACGUUGCUCGGAAUUAUUGGGCGUAAAGCGCACGUAGGCGGCUUGGCAAGUCGGAUGUGAAAUCCCUCGGCUCAACCAAGGAAGUGCAUCCGAAACUGCUGAGCUUGAGUACUUAAGAGGAUCGCGGAAUUCCCGGUGUAGAGGUGAAAUUCGUAGAUAUCGGGAGGAACACCAGUGGCGAAGGCGGCGGCCUGGGUAUGACCUGACACUGAGCCACGACGGCGUGGGGAGCAAACGGG
rnacentral:rRNA from 1 species